AGAGUUUGAUCCUGGCUCAGGAUGAACGCUGGCGGCGUGCCUAAUACAUGCAAGUCGAACGAGGUGCUUGAGUAGCAAUACAAGAGUAUCCUAGUGGCGAACGGGUAAGUAACGCGUUGGUGACCUACCCCAAAGUGUGGGAUAACAGUCCGAAAGGAUUGCUAAUACCGCAUGUGGUUAUCGGAUCUAGAAACUGAUAACUAAAGGAGCAAUUCGCUUUGGGAGGGACCUGCGUCCCAUCAGCUAGUUGGUGAGGUAACGGCUCACCAAGGCUACGACGGGUAGGGGACCUGAGAGGGUGGCCCCCCACAAUGGAACUGAAACACGGUCCAUACACCUACGGGUGGCAGCAGUAGGGAAUAUUGCACAAUGGGCGAAAGCCUGAUGCAGCAACGCCGCGUGUGCGAUGAAGGCCUUCGGGUCGUAAAGCACUUUUCUGAGAGAUGAGAAAGGACAGUAUCUCAGGAAUAAGUCUCGGCUAACUACGUGCCAGCAGCCGCGGUAACACGUAGGAGGCGAGCGUUAUCCGGAUUCACUGGGCGUAAAGCGCGUGCAGGCGGUUUGGUAAGUUGAUCGUGAAAGCCCCCGGCUCAACUGGGAGAGGUCGUUCAAUACUACCAAACUAGAGAGUAGAAGAGGAAAAUGGAAUUCCCGGUGUAGUGGUGAAAUGCGUAGAUAUCGGGAGGAACACCAGUGGCGAAGGCGAUUUUCUGGUCUAUUUCUGACGCUCAGACGCGACAGCUAGGGUAGUAAACGGGAUUAGAGACCCCGGUAAUCCUAGCCGUAAACGAUGUGAACUUGGCGUCGGUGGCUUAAACACCAUCGGUGCCGAAGCAAACGCGAUAAGUUCACCGCCUGGGGACUACGGCCGCAAGGUUAAAACUCAAAGGAAUUGACGG
rnacentral:rRNA from 1 species